rnacentral:misc_RNA from 1 species
GAAAUGCGAUACGUAGUGUGAAUUGCAGAAUUCAGUGAAUCAUCGAAUCUUUGAACGCACAUUGCGCCCUUUGGUAUUCCAAAGGGCAUGCCUGUUCGAGCGUCAUUUGUACCCUCAAGCUUUGCUUGGUGUUGGGCGUUUUUUGUCUUUGGUUGCCAAAGACUCGCCUUAAAAGGAUUGGCAGCCGGCCUACUGGUUUCGCAGCGCAGCACAUUUUUGCGCUUGCAAUCAGCAAAAGAGGACGGCAAUCCAUCAAGACUCCUUCUCACGUUUGACCUCGGAUCAGGUAGGGAUACCCGCUGAACUUAAGC